AUACACCUAGCAUAGACAAACACUAGCUCAGCUGGACACAUACACACUCGAUGCACCCACUGCCAUGCCGAUAUUGGGGUCACUGGGCCCGAUCUAUGUUACACACUAGCGUAUGAUGAGGGGUGGGGACCGAGGCUUUUUAAGCUUAUUACAUUACCAUGAAAUAUGCAACCAGCACGCACCCAGCCUGCAAUACUUAGCUCAUAGCUUGUACCAGCUUUGUCGUACACCCGAGGACACCAGCAUUAUAAAUUGUGAUUAACCAUAUACUGCUCAGGCAUACCUUGCUUGAAUAAUGCAUUUUCCUGACUCGCUUAGGAGUUUCUCAUGUUUAAAGUUAUUGUACACGAGUUUUGUCUCUCUGCUUGAACUCCUUUCAUGUUGUUCCUGUUCCCACUAUUCUUGAUUACUUAAUUAAUAUAAAAUGAGGCUGUCAUUUCUAGGAGAUGUUAAACUAUGAUAUGAUUUCCCUAUCUUGUAUAUUUAUUGUUAGUCUCCCUUUCUUAAUUCUGUACCCUUUUUAACAUCUGCC